rnacentral:tRNA from 1 species
GCCCGGGUGGCGGAACUGGUAGACGCGCGGGACUCAAAAUCCCGUUCCCCUCAAAGGAGUGUCGGUUCGAUUCCGACUCCGGGCACCA